GAAACUUUCAAAAAUGACUUUACCUGGAAAUUAAGAAGUCCAUUGAAUCAUAAAGACUGAAAAAGUGUCAUUUACCCAAAACUCACUUGUGCAUCCUCAUAGGUGUCCUCAUUGCUCUACGAACACCUAAGCACCUAUUGUGUGCUGUCCACAGGCCACUGGAAGGACAGCAGGUGACAAAGCCCCACAGACCUAGCGUUCUGUCCAGUACAGUGGCCACUAGCUAUUUACACCUCAAAUUAGAAAUUCCAUUCCUCAGUUGUAUUGGCCACAUCUCAGUGCACAGAUGUAACUAGCAGCAAUGCAGAUAGAGAGCACGCCCAUCACAGAAAAGUUUCUGUUGGGCAGAUGACAGACACUGUACACGUUGAAAAAUGAGCCCGAGUUAGCUCUGAGGGAACACGGUAAGGUUCAGUGAACUGUAGAGCAGAUCUCGUCCAGCCUGGGCAUUGUUGACAGAGUGGCAGUGGCAUAGGCUGGAGAGGGACAGGUGGGAGUUUGGCUUCUAUUCCGGUGUCUCAAUGCUUUUCUUUCAAUUCCACAAACUCUCAUGUGCCUUUCAACAAAUCCCUUUUCUUUAGUAGUCUUGAACAUGACUCUUCACAACAGAAAGAGCCCCCAUCUAGAACUGCAUUCUGCAAACUGUUCUACAGAAAGAUGUCAGCAGGCACCCCCAAUUUCCCUUGCCCCAGCAGAGCCCCACAGAGCCCACUGACAGUUCUGACUAGUCCUGUAGUAAAGGAGCAUUUACAGUCUUAUAUGGGUUAAGUUUCCCAAACUUCUAGGACCAUGUGAUACAAUCAACUAGUGAUACAGUUUUGGAUCUUACCUUGAGGAAAGCAGGACCAGAACACAACUCUUCUACAACUUGGUCUUGUUUUGCAUUAUUUAUUUGAAGCCCUUUGUCGGAAUGUGUUGUGUAGGUGGGGGACCCUUGCUCCUUCUUUGAAGGGCCGUAUAGGACCUAGACAUCCUCACACCUCUUUGUCAGCAGCCAUCAGGCCUCACCAGCUACACGCAGAGAGCAGGCAUGCAAGGGGAGCAACAUGUUCUUUUAUUGAUGCAAGUACGUCCAGUCACACCAACUGACAUCCUGUGUUACGGUACAGCUUUGUACUCAGAGUUCAUCUCAAAAUACCAAAACAUCGUAAGGUGUGUAUCAAAUUGGGAAAAUAAAGUAGCAAACAUAGACACUGUAUCAGGUAGGUACUAGGACUGAUGACCCCGUGGAGUGCACACUGACAUGAAAGCUCCUUAACUCGCAAGACAAAGUGUUCUAACGUUGUAUUCCAAAUAUAUAUUCUCAAGUUUUUAGCCUUUCUGUAUCUCAAAUACAUAAACAAAGCAAUAUGUACUACCAAGAUACAAUAUGUACUAUCUAGAACAUCUGAAAAGUGCAAAAACACUGUGACAAUACAGUGUAAAUAAUCUUGUUCCACCCAGGGCUGAGGGCGACGUCCAUAUCGGAUUGGGGAGCCACCCCUUCCUGAGGCCUCACCUCCACAUCUCCAGGCUCUCCUAGGAGCUUUGGGAAUUAGCAACUAACUGACCCAUCCUCACUUGGGCAUCUCGGCUGCAGGCUCCUGGGAAGCCAGGCAUACGGAGAGAAACAAGGAUUCCCUUAGGGGAGCCCCCCACCCAGAGGGAAGGAGGAGGCAGUCUGCUAGAAUACCGCUUUUUAUAUACAAAAUGGACCCCAACCAGUGAGGCCUCCUCAUCUCAACCCUUAUCAAUCAAGAUUAAAACUCAGUGCAUGUGUGUGCUUCGUCCAGCGUCUGCAGGCUGCAUCCGUGCCUUCAGGCUCUGUUAAGGAGAGUCGUCCUAAAGGACCUUCACUUUCAAAGGAGGCGAUGAAGAGAGCUGAGAGAAGAAGCCCCUCAGAACCCACGUCCACAUGCAGUCUGCCUACCACACCAGUUGUCCCUUCCUUUCUAGGGGUACAACUGGGCCUGGGAAGGGACAGUGACUUCUGGUCUGGGCCUGUCCACAGGUCUCUGCUCCCUGGGGUUCUAGAGCUCACAGCUUGGGGACUAAGAAGCUUCCUGGUUCUGCAACACUAUCAGGGGGUUUCCAGAGCCCCAUCUCUCCUUGUUCUCAUCCUGUCACCUACCCACAGCCCACCCUCACGUACUCAGCCCUGUGGGCUCACUGCCUCCCAGGGCAACCCCCAUGAGAGGAGAGGCCCUGGACAUGGGGAGUCAGGGUGACAUGUACAGUGUAGGGAGGUGGGUGUGCUGCCCUGGGGAGCCGGGCCUCACCUUCCUCACUGUAGAUGGGUGCCGUGAGCAGGUAGUUCUGAAUCUUCUUGUCCUUCUCGAAGGGACACUCUACCUGAGUCCAUGUCAUGAACUCAUGGAUCUGUCUGGAGAUUUCCCAAAAUUUCUGAAGGCACAGAAGACCAACUGGAUGUUCAUUUGUCACCUUAAGCUUGAAAUCCUUGGUUCGGGCAGGGGACGUAGGUUCCGGUUUCAUUCUGUGCCCCAGCAAGAUGGGACGGUGACCCUGCUCAGCUGACUUUGUGGCCACGGCAGCACUUUAUGCAGCAUCAGAGCCAGUAAGUGUCCCCAAGACCAUUCGGUCCUGCACUUUGCCUAGGCCCGAGGCUGCAGCAGGGUCUGUGCCUCCCCCGUGCAAGCCCCCAAGAGGGCCCCAUCGGGGACUCCAGGCUGAGGCAGGUAUGCCAGCCAUACCCAACAGCACCACCAACCUGAACGUGUCAUGAUCUCAUUCUCUGGGGAGCUGUAGGGGAAACGGGGCUGUCCAGUACUUACCUCACACAGGUAAGGGGUAGGAAAGAGUUAUGGAUUCUUACACAGGCCCCCAUAACCUUUGUCCUACCUUCCCACCAUUGGCCAGCUACCCUUGGUUUCCAUCUGGAAUUCUGCUGCCUCCCUGCUCAAGUACCUUCUUGCCUAAAGCCUUCCUCACUCCCAAACCCCCAGAAGUAGCCCCUUCUCUGUCUCCCUGGUGGGGUCAGUGUUGGGGCCACCCUUAUACUUCGCAAACAGCACACAUAACCCACCCUGGAGCUUUCAGUCCUAAAGGCCUUUCUGCAAAGGGCCACUGCUUUUCAGCUCUAGUAGCACAGAUUUUACCUGUCCUAGGAUAAGGCUGAGAGGUCUGUUCUGCCCUGUGUUGGGACAGUCUGGCCCCCCUCCCCUCAGGCCACAAGGGUGCUGAGCUCACCUUAAAGUUAACAUGCCCAUUGGGCAAGUGAUUGGUAUGGAUUUUGUGCAGGAAGUAAAUGUCCUUAACGAAAAGGUUGAAUACAGGGAUAACAAUCUUCUCUCUGCUGCUGUUGGCCAUCUGGGACCUUUGAGUGGCCCCCUGCAGGGCAGUGCGGUAGUUGCAGAAGUUGCUGGAUGGGUCCAUGUGGUGCUGUGGGCAGACAGGAGGACCUGGUUGGCUGUGUUCUCCCUGUACCCCUGACUUGUUCAGAAUGCCCCUUCGCAGAGCAGGAAACAGCGAUGGGGAAGGCAUUUCUCUGCUGGGCAGCCCUGGACUGUCACCAGAAGAGGCCUCCUUUCUGGGAGUGAGCACCUGGCUGAGUACCGGGUUUGGAUCCAAACAUGAGGAAAGUUACAGAGAAGUCUCACAGCUCACACACACCUCUUCCCUGCCCUGCUGAGCCUGGGUCUCACUUCUUUCCUUUCAAAACCUUCCUUUGCCCUUCUACUUGGACCAACACCUCCCAAAACUGACAAGCUCUGUAGGACACAUUUGCAGAAAGUGGAUUCUGUGAUCAAAUACUUCAGGGAAGGCUGCAGGUGAACCUACCCACUCUUGGGCCACCCGGAUGAUCCAGGACCGCAGGAACUCAAGCCAGGAAAAGGCCAGCCUCUGCUUUGUCAGCAUCACCCAACACCCCAGCAACACCCUGGGACCCACUUUUGUCAAACUCUUUCCUAACCACUCUCUAGAACUUGCCUUAGGCAAUGCCAGUUCUGCCUAAAGUUCCAAGGGCCGAGGAGAGCUUCAGCUACCCACCUCCUAGAGCAGCCAGGCCAGCUCAACAUGCCCUACACCAGAUGGCACUGUGGGCAGUGGGUUCUGAGCAAGGGGGCAGAGUGGAUGAGGCCCACCCCUCCUCAGGCCAAUGUAGGACAUGGCUGAGGUGCUUACCUCCAAGACGUCAAACUUGGCCGUCUUGACUUUGGACCACGUUUUCUUCAGCCUCGCCACAGGACUGAGGUUCAUGCCAGCUGUAGGGAACAGCAGGUGGAGUCAGGGUGGGGUUAGGUAGGCCAUGCAGAAGCUGGAUAGGAAGCCCCUGGGGCCUGGCCACUCACAUAUGAUGGCCAUCAUGGAGUUGAAAUUCCCGAUGUUGAAGCACUCCCGGGCCACAUCAAUAAAGAACUCUAGCAUGCGG